ACUCCUACGGGAGGCAGCAGUGGGGAAUUUUGCGCAAUGGGCGAAAGCCUGACGCAGCGACGCCGCGUGAGGGAAGAAGGUUUUCGGAUCGUAAACCUCUGUCGGGGGGGAAGAAACUAUCGGCGACCAAUACUCGCCGGUAUUGACGGUACCCCCUAAGGAAGCAUCGGCUAACUACGUGCCAGCAGCCGCGGUAAUACGUAGGAUGCAAGCGUUGUUCGGAAUUAUUGGGUGUAAAGGGCGCGUAGGUGGCCCUGUAAGUCAUGGGUGAAAUCCCUCGGCUUAACCGAGGAAUUGCCUAUGAUACUGCAGGGCUUGAGUACGGGAGAGGGAAGUGGAAUUCCUGGUGUAGCGGUGAAAUGCGUAGAUAUCAGGAGGAACACCGGUGGCGAAGGCGGCUUCCUGGACCGAUACUGACACUGAGGCGCGAAAGCGUGGGUAGCAAACAGGAUUAGAUACCCUGGUAGUC
rnacentral:rRNA from 1 species